rnacentral:rRNA from 1 species
UACAGAGGGUGCGAGCGUUAAUCGGAUUUACUGGGCGUAAAGCGUGCGUAGGCGGCUUUUUAAGUCGGAUGUGAAAUCCCCGAGCUUAACUUGGGAAUUGCAUUCGAUACUGGGAAGCUAGAGUAUGGGAGAGGAUGGUAGAAUUCCAGGCGUAGCGGUGAAAUGCGUAGAGAUCUGGAGGAAUACCGAUGGCGAAGGCAGCCAUCUGGCCUAAUACUGACGCUGAGGUACGAAAGCAUGGGGAGCAAACAGG